AAGCAUGCCACCAAAAUGAGCUCUUGAACUCAUCAGGCCCUCAGGCCGAAAGCAGAGAGUUGGCAAGGCAGUGAAAAGAUGCCUGGAGAGGCCAGUGGAGGGACCUCCCGCUAAGAGCAGCCUUCAAAUCAAUGGAGCCCAGGAAGUCAGUGAGAUUACCCAUCACUCUCUGAGUGCCUGCUAGAUCUGUCGACCUGGAGAAGACAGGGAGAAGGAGCUCCGACAGCCUGCGAGAAAGGAUAGUGGAAAGCGCUAGAACAACCAGAGGGACGGAAUGCUGCUGUAUAGUUCAGCCGCUCUGGCUGUCCGUCUUAGAGGUCUUCUGCUCAUGGGGUGUGCCCUUGAAAGACAGAAUGGUUCAGAGGUUAAGAGCACCUGCUGCUCUUGUGGAGGACCUGAGUUGAGUUCUUAGCACCCGCACCAGGCAGCUAGCUCACUGCUACCUGUAACUCUAGCCCUAAGGGAGCUGACAUCCUCUUCUGGAUCUGGGAACAGCCAUGUGCACAC